GAUGAACGCUGGCGGCGUGCCUAAUACAUGCAAGUCGAGCGAACAGAUGAGGAGCUUGCUCCUCUGACGUUAGCGGCGGACGGGUGAGUAACACGUGGAUAACCUACCUAUAAGACUGGGAUAACUUCGGGAAACCGGAGCUAAUACCGGAUAAUAUAUUGAACCGCAUGGUUCAAUAGUGAAAGACGGUUUUGCUGUCACUUAUAGAUGGAUCCGCGCCGCAUUAGCUAGUUGGUAAGGUAACGGCUUACCAAGGCAACGAUGCGUAGCCGACCUGAGAGGGUGAUCGGCCACACUGGAACUGAGACACGGUCCAGACUCCUACGGGAGGCAGCAAUAGGGAAUCUUCCACAAUGGGCGAAAGCCUGACGGAGCAACGCCGCGUGAGUGAUGAAGGUCUUCGGAUCGUAAAACUCUGUUAUUAGGGAAGAACAAAUGUGUAAGUAACUAUGCACGUCUUGACGGUACCUAAUCAGAAAGCCACGGCUAACUACGUG
rnacentral:rRNA from 1 species